ACUAGAGCACCAAUUUAAUCCAGCUCAGCCAGGGCAGGCAGCCUGCCCUAGGGACUAGCAACCACCCAACAGCAAGCCCUCUGGCAACUUGUGGGCCUGCACAGGUGGGGUGCAUGGGACCUCUGCAGCAGGUAAAUGGGAAUUGAUUAUGGAUGGAGAUCACAAGAUUGGUACUGCUCGUGGAGUAUCACCUUCUACUCACUGAUCUCAAAGUAUAUCAAAAACUCAACCGGAAAAGCAGUACUUAUGAAAGUUUGCCUGAAGGAUAUACAUUCCUCAAAAUGAUUAAAUAAUAAUAAUAAUCCUGUAAGGAUUUUGUUAGGGUCAUUGUCCUUUUCAUU
rnacentral:lncRNA from 1 species